rnacentral:rRNA from 1 species
GACGAACGCUGGCGGCGUGCCUAAUACAUGCAAGUCGAGCGGGUGCCUUCGGGCACCAGCGGCGGACGGGUGAGUAACACGUGGGCAAUCUGCCUUUCAGACCGGAAUAACGCCUGGAAACGGGUGCUAAUGCUGGAUAGAGCAACGAGUAGGCAUCUACUAGUUGGGAAAGGUGCUACGGCACCACUGAGAGAGGAGCCCGCGGCGCAUUAGCUAGUUGGUGGGGUAACGGCCCACCAAGGCGACGAUGCGUAGCCGACCUGAGAGGGUGACCGGCCACACUGGGACUGAGACACGGCCCAGACUCCUACGGGAGGCAGCAGUAGGGAAUCUUCGGCAAUGGGCGAAAGCCUGACCGAGCAACGCCGCGUGAGCGAAGAAGGCCUUCGGGUUGUAAAGCUCAGUCACCCGGGAAGAGCGGGCAGGAGAGGGAAUGCUCCUGUCGAGACGGUACCGGGAGAGGAAGCCCCGGCUAACUACGUG